rnacentral:lncRNA from 1 species
CUCACAAAGCUCCAAAGUAACCACGAGUCUAAUACAGAAGAUCUGUAUCAAGAAGGAGUCUCGACAUCAAGCUGCGAGGGAUCUCUGUGCAGAUGUGACCUCGAGAGCCAUCCCUGCUCGAGGGCAGAUCCUGUCGUGCAGCGCGCUGCUGUGCAGGAGAGCUCGAGGGGUGCUUUUGCUGCUCCCUGUUUUGGGGCUCCAGUUCAACUUGUGCCUUCCAGGCGUGAUCAUCCCAGGCUGCAGGAGAGCAGCAAAUGGCCACAGCACAUCGGUGUCAGGUAGGGGCUGUGGGAAGCAGGCAGGAGAGGCCAAG